GAACCUGGCCUUCCUCAUCGCCCUGCUGGUUGGAAUCGGACAGGCGGUGCAUUACUAGCAUCUGGGUCUGCUCAGCGCUCAGAUCGGUCCGUUACGAUCAGCUGAGGAGAAGUUACAAGUUCUAAAGUAGAGAAACUUCAGCGCAUUAAAGUCUGAGUUAGUAACCAGCUGUGUGUUUAUGCAGCCCAAUGGCAGAAAAUAAAGAAAAACAAAAAUCA